CCUACGGGUGGCAGCAGUGGGGGAUAUUGCACAAUGGGGGAAACCCUGAUGCAGCGACGCCGCGUGUGGGAAGACGGUCCUCUGGAUUGUAAACCACUGUCCCCAGGGACGAAGAUGACGGUACCUGGGGAGGAAGCUCCGGCUAACUACGUGCCAGCAGCCGCGGUAAUACGUAGGGAGCGAGCGUUGUCCGGAAUUACUGGGUGUAAAGGGAGCGUAGGCGGGACUGCAAGUUGGGUGUCAAAUCUACCGGCUCAACCGGUAGCCGCACUCAAAACUGCAGUUCUUGAGUGAAGUAGAGGCAGGCGGAAUUCCUAGGGUAGCGGGGAAAUGCGUAGAUAUUAGGAGGAACACCAGUGGCGAAGGCGGCCUGCUGGGCUUUUACUGACGCUGAGGCUCGAAAGUGUGGGGAGCGAACAGGAUUAGAUACCCUUGUAGUC
rnacentral:rRNA from 1 species